AAACAUGUCUUUUUGUAAAUAAUUUAAAGUUUAAUCUGCCCACUGAUNAAUUUAUUAAAGGGCUGCAGUAUUUUGACUGUACAAAGGUAGCAUAAUCAUUAGUCUCUUAAUUGGUGACUUGUAUGAAAGAUUGGAUGAGAUAUAUACUGUCUCUAAUUAAUUUAUAAAAUUUAAUUUUUUAGUAAAAAAGCUAAAAUGAUUUUAAAAGACGAGAAGACCCUAUAGAGUUUAAUAAUUUAUUUAAUUAUUAUUAUUAUAUAAAUUUUAAAAUUAAAAUUAAAUAAAUUAUUUUGUUGGGGUGAUAGAAAAAUUAAAUUAACUUUUUUUUUAUUUUAAACAUUAAUUUAUGAAUAAAUGAUCCAUUAAUAGUGAUUAUAAGAAAAAAUUACCUUAGGGAUAACAGCGUAAUUUUUUUUUUUAGUUCAAAUAGGAAAAAAAGUUUGCGACCUCGAUGUUGGAUUAAGAUAAAAUUUAAAUGCAAAAGUUUAAAAUUUUAAUCUGUUCGAUCAUUAAAAUCUUA
rnacentral:rRNA from 1 species